UACGUAGGGGGCUAGCGUUGUCCGGAAUCAUUGGGCGUAAAGAGCGUGUAGGCGGUCCGGUAAGUCCGCUGUGAAAGUCGGGGGCUCAACCCUCGAAUGCCGGUGGAUACUGUCGGGCUAGAGUGCGGAAGAGGCGAGUAGAAUUCCUGGUGUAGCGGUGAAAUGCGCAGAUAUUAGGAGGAACACCGGUGGCGAAGGCGGGACUCUGGGCCGAUACUGACGCUGAGGAGCGAAAGCGUGGGGAGCAAACAGG
rnacentral:rRNA from 1 species